rnacentral:rRNA from 1 species
CCCUUAGAUGUUCUGGGCCGCACGCGUGCUACACUGAGUGGAUCAGCGGGUCAGGUUGCGCGAAAGCGUUUCCUAAUCUUUAAAUCCGCUCGUGAUGGGGAUUGACGGUUGCAAUUUUCUGUCAUGAACGAGGAAUACCUUGUAAGCGCGGGUCAUCAUCCCGCGCUGAAUACGUCCCUGCCCUUUGUACACACCGCCCGUCGCUCCUACCGAUUGAGUGUUCCGGUGAAUAAUUCGGACUGCAGCAGCGUGGGGACUCCUCAUACUGCAGCGGAAAGUUUGGUGAACCUUAACACUUAGAGGAAGGAGAAGUCGUAACA